rnacentral:rRNA from 1 species
CACGUAGGGCGCAAGCGUUGUCCGGAAUUAUUGGGCGUAAAGAGCUCGUAGGUGGUGAGGUAAGUCGGAUGUGAAAUCUCCGAGCUCAACUCGGAAAUGGCAUUGGAAACUACCUUGCUCGAGGGUUGGAGGGGGGACUGGAAUGCUUGGUGUAGCAGUGAAAUGCGUAGAUAUCAAGCGGAACACCAGUGGCGAAGGCGAGUCCCUGGACAACUCCUGACACUGAGGCACGAAAGCUAGGGGAGCAAACAGG